CGUACCCGAUGACGAGUCGAUACCCGAUGACGAGUGAUACCCGAUGACGAGUCGGUACCCGAUGACGAGUCGGUACCCGCUGACGAGUGAUACCCGAUGACGGUCUACAAGGCAGUAUUGGCAAGACCGUAUCAGCAUCAUGGCAUCUCAACAACAAAAGGGAACGGACUGUACUGACCAACAAGCGCCUGGUGGUACGUUCGCGGUCAUGUGGACGCAACACUCUCCUUCAAACAACAUCUUGAAGAGGUGACGGCCAAAGUGUCCUCAAGGGUCUCACGUAUCAGACUAGUUGGGGUGCCCCCAAUCACCAGGCAUGCCCUUGUCUUCUCUGCAGCACCAGGCUGGUGUAGAAGCUAGCAUGUCUAGGAGUUUUAUGUUGGCCUUUGGAUCACCACUCCCACGUUCUACCUGCCGGUGCUCCUCAGGUGGCUGCCAUCCUUACCCAAGCCAGGAAGGCCCAGAGACAUGACUAGCAUGUUCUCCACAACGCCACCAACUGUCUCGCUCCCAAGUCUCAAAGCCGUCCCGACAACAAGCCAGGACCUGGGAGUCUGCAUCAAAGCAAGUGACCUGCCUUGUGGACCCUGCUGAACCGCCUGCCAACUGGGAUUGGGUGCUUCAAAGCAUCACACACGUAUGGGAGACGUACGUCAGCCGGGAAGCCUCGUUUGUCAAACUGUCAAAGGUAAAUCAAGAUGGACGCCACCAAGGUAGACAAAUAUGUCAUAUUCCUUGCUGUCUCGGAUGAAUAAUUCCACUUUACACAAUCCUGCAAUUAGCGAGUAAUGACUUCCAGACUGCAGGUCAACCGCAAUCAAGCAUCCAUCCGGCCGACGGUACACCGGCGGAGGUCAAAGUGUUCUCAAGUGAAAGCAAAUCAACGUCCUCCUUCUCAGCCCUUUGACCUUCACUUCAACGCAGCCUACCGCAAUGGAUGGAGGUUAAAAGUUUACAUCCCGGACAUCUUCGGACGCGCAAAUAUGCAAACGGUAAAAAGAAGACAGCACGGUAUUCAAGCAUGACAAGGUACAGAAA